AACGAACGCUGGCGGCAGGCUUAACACAUGCAAGUCGAACACAUCCUUCGGGGUGAGUGGCAGACGGGUGAGUAACGCGUGGGAACGUGCCCUUCAGUUCGGGAUAACCCAGGGAAACUUGGGCUAAUACCGGAUACGUGCGAGAGCAGAAAGAUUUAUCGCUGAAGGAUCGGCCCGCGUCUGAUUAGCUAGUUGGUGGGGUAAUGGCCCACCAAGGCGACGAUCAGUAGCUGGUCUGAGAGGAUGAUCAGCCACAUUGGGACUGAGACACGGCCCAAACUCCUACGGGAGGCAGCAGUGGGGAAUAUUGGACAAUGGGCGCAAGCUUGAUCCAGCCAUGUCGCGUGAGUGAUGAAGGCCUUAGGGUUGUAAAGCUCUUUCGUCCGGGACGAUAAUGACGGUACCGGAAGAAGAAGCCCCGGCUAACUUCGUGCCAGCAGCCGCCGUAA
rnacentral:rRNA from 1 species